GCAGUGCAUUUUCUAGAGGGUGA
rnacentral:siRNA from 1 species